GAAAACCCAGGAGAGUGCUAGAUCUUGUAUGUUGGCGAAAUUGGUGGAACAUUACUGCUUCUUGUUUAUGCAUUUGCUUUAAAAGGUUGAGAAGAGUUGUAGUUUGUGUAUUUGCAAUUGAUUGAUAGAUUGGGUUGUUGGUGUAUUGGGAGUAGUUUGAAAUUUGAUAGAAAAUAAGAUGGUUGGAUCUGAGGAAGGAGUAAUGAGUCAUGUUUACCCGAAUGGGUUGAUUCAAAGUACUAAUGGUUCUUCUGUGGAGGAGAAAGUCGAUGAGCUACGUCGAAUUUUUGGUAAAGCGGAUGGUGAUCCGUUGAGAAUUGUAGGUGUUGGAGCAGGAGCAUGGGGUAGUGUUUUUGUAGCAAUGUUGCAGGAUGCGUAUGGUAAUCUUCGAGAGAAGGUACAAAUAAGAAUAUGGAGGAGAGCUGGAAGAGAUGUUGAUAAAGC
rnacentral:misc_RNA from 1 species